UACGGGGGGAGCAAGCGUUGUUCGGAUUUACUGGGCGUAAAGGGCGCGUAGGCGGCCAGUGCAAGUCAGUUGUGAAAUCUCCGAGCUUAACUCGGAAAGGUCAACUGAUACUGCUCGGCUAGAGUGCGGAAGGGGCAACUGGAAUUCUUGGUGUAGCGGUGAAAUGCGUAGAUAUUCGGAAGAACACCAGUGGCGAAGGCGGCUCACUGGACUGGUAUUGACGCUGAGGUGCGAAAGCGUGGGGAGCAAACAGG
rnacentral:rRNA from 1 species